UCCGUUGUAGUCUAGAUGGUUGGGAUAUUCGGCUCUCACCCGAGCGACCCGGGUUCGAGUCCCGGCAACGGAA
rnacentral:tRNA from 2 species